rnacentral:rRNA from 1 species
UCGACCCCUUUCACCCUACUGAGAACUUCUAUAAAAUUAUAGAACCUUUAAUGUUAAAACUAGUAACAAGAGAUAUACCCUCUCUGUAAUGUAAACUAAAGCCAGCAAGAACCCAUCACUGGCAAUCAACAGAAACAAAGUAGUAAAUUUCUCCAGAAAACUCUACUCCCCUAACUGUUAACCUAACACAAGAACAUUCUAAGAAAGAUUUAAAGAAAAAGAAGGAACUCGGCAAACAUUAAUCUCGCCUGUUUACCAAAAACAUCGCCUCUUGUCACCCAUAAGAGGUCCAGCCUGCCCAGUGACUCUUGUUCAACGGCCGCGGUAUCCUAACCGUGCGAAGGUAGCGUAAUCACUUGUCUUUUAAAUAGAGACUUGUAUGAAAGGCACCACGAGGAUUAAGCUGUCUCCUCUCUCCAAUCAGUGAACCUAAUCUCCCCGUGAAAAAGCGGGAAUUUUUAUAUAAGACGAGAAGACCCCAUGGAGCUUAAAACAUUAUAACACUGCACCCCCCUACAUUGACAAUUCAGAUAUUAACACCCACGGCACACUAAUUAUAUGUUUUCGGUUGGGGUGACCGCGGAGGAAAACCCAUCCCCCACGAUGACAGGGGACCCCCCCCCAAACAAUAAGUUACACCUUUAUGUAUCAACAAAUUGACAUUAUUGACCCAAUAUAUUGAUUAACGAACCAAGUUACCCUGGGGAUAACAGCGCAAUCCACUUUGAGAGCCCAUAUCGACAAGUGGGCUUACGACCUCGAUGUUGGAUCAGGGUACCCCAGUGGUGCAGCCGCUACUAAAGGUUCGUUUGUUCAACGA